UCAGUGUUUAAUUUCCUGUUACAUUAGGGUUGAAGAGUCACAUACUACAGGGUGAAUUUAAUGUAUAAACUCUGGAGCAUCCAUCUAACCAGUUUCAUCAGACUAACAGGACCACAGCAAGAAGUUUGGAGGCCCCUGUAACUCCUACGGUCAAACCAAAAUGCCGACUUCUUCCAGUCCUUUUAACAGCACCUUCAGGCCACACACAAGAGGACAAUCUGAGCCUAGAGCAUGCAGUCUGGUAGGAGUUAUCCAGGUCCUGACAGAAUCUCGGCUGCUGUGGGAUGGUGAGAAGAGAUGCCAAAACACAAUGUUUUGCUUCACCUUUUUUUUUCUAAUAUCUCAUUAAAAUACCCAACUCCACUGUGAA
rnacentral:lncRNA from 1 species